UAUAAAUUAUACAGAGAGAAUAUCAAGAGAAAAAAUUGGAGGGUCUCAUAUAAUCCACUAAAAUGUGGGAAGAACAGAUCUUUCCUCUUUUAUGUAUACAAAGAGUCUGAUUUUACCCUUAAUCAGAUGACUACUCACCGUUUCCUAGGUCUGGAUACACAGCAAGGAGUAGGCAUUCACUGAUCAUAUUUCUUGUUUGCCUUUAGGGAAUGAUGACAACAAUCUCAAUUCCAUUUUUUAUGAACACUUGACAAGGACCCUCCAGGAGUCCCUCUGUGGAGACUUAGUUCUUGGUCGUUGGGGCAACUACAGCUCUGGCGAUUGCUUUAUUUUGGCUUCAGAUGAUCUCAAUGCCUUUGUUCACCUGAUUGAAAUUGGAAAUGGUCUCGUCACCUUUCAACUUCGAGGACUGGAAUUCCGAGGAACCUACUGCCAGCAGAGGGAGGUAGAAGCCAUCAUGGAGGGCGACGAGGAGGACAGAGGCUGCUGCUGCUGCAAACCAGGCCACUUGCCUCACCUGCUGUCCUGCAACGCUGCCUUUCACCUCCGCUGGCUCACC
rnacentral:sRNA from 1 species